GUAGGUGAACCUGCGGAAGGAUCAUUACAGAGUUCAUGCCCUCACGGGUAGAUCUCCCACCCUUGAAUAUUUAUACCUUAGUUGCUUUGGCAGGCCGUGGAAACACCAUGGGCUCCGGCCUAUGCGUGCCUGCCAGAGGAAACAAACUCUGUUUUUAGUGAUGUCUAAGUACUAUAUAAUAGUUAAAACUUUCAACAACGGAUCUCUUGGUUCUG
rnacentral:misc_RNA from 1 species